UACGUAGGGGGCAAGCGUUAUCCGGAUUUACUGGGUGUAAAGGGAGCGUAGGUGGUUUAAUAAGUCAGGUGUGAAAGCCCGGGGCUCAACUCCGGGAUUGCAUUUGAAACUAUUAGACUAGAGUGCAGGAGAGGUAAGUGGAAUUCCUAGUGUAGCGGUGAAAUGCGUAGAUAUUAGGAGGAACACCAGUGGCGAAGGCGGCUUACUGGACUGUAACUGACACUGAGGCUCGAAAGCGUGGGGAGCAAACAGG
rnacentral:rRNA from 1 species